UACGUAGGGAGCAAGCGUUGUUCGGAUUUACUGGGCGUAAAGGGCGCGUAGGCGGCGCGGUAAGUCACUUGUGAAAUCUCUGAGCUUAACUCAGAACGGCCAAGUGAUACUGCAGUGCUAGAGUGCAGAAGGGGCAAUCGGAAUUCUUGGUGUAGCGGUGAAAUGCGUAGAUAUCAAGAGGAACACCUGAGGUGAAGACGGGUUGCUAGGCUGACACUGACGCUGAGGCGCGAAGGCGUGGGGAGCGAACGGG
rnacentral:rRNA from 1 species